rnacentral:lncRNA from 1 species
UUUAGGUGAAAACGUGUAUUCAAUGUGCUUUAACUUACCUAAAUUCGUUGUAAAGUCGUUGUAAAUAUACCAUGUAAAAUCCAUGUAAAACUUUCCUUGUAAAAUCGUUGUUAUAUUUCUCUAUAUAUAUGUCAUUUCCCACAACUCUCUUCCUCACAACACACAACUCUCUUCCUCUCGAACCUGAUGGCGUUUAGACUAUGUUCCUCAUUCAGCCACCAAUUACUAUUUCGAAGAUGACGAUAAGGAACCUGACUCAUUUGUCUGUCUGCUAAUUCAGUGGAGCGACAAGGAGAAAGUGGACGGAAGUGCAGUUGGUUUAUACUUGAGAGGAACCUCCGACCAUCGUCAAAGGUUCCUCUCAAGUACAAACCAGCUGCACUUCUGUCCACUUUCUCCUUGUCGUUCCACUGAAUUGGCAGACAGACGAACGACACAGAUUCCUUAUCGUCGUCUUAGCAAUAGUAAUUGGUGGCUUAACAACGCAAUUACGACGAAACCAACGAAACCAAAUUUCGUCGUAAACGCCAUGUAAUCUUACGAAGCAAGUACGUCGAAAAGAAAACUUUACAUCGACAUUACAACGAAUCAUGUUACCGUUAUAUUUAGGUGAAAAACUUACCUAAAUUCGUUGUAAAGUCGUUGUAAAGAAACCAUGUAAAAUCCAUGUAAAAGAUUCCUUGUAAAAUCGUUGUUAUAUUUCAACUACCCAACUCAAAAAUUUCUCUAUAUAUAUGUCAUUUCCUACAACUUUCUUCCUCACAACACACAACUCUCUUCCUCACAAGACCCAAACGGAAUUUUUUUUUUUUUUAAUAUAGAAGAAAAUAUGGUCGGUGGCGGUAGUAUUUACGAGUUACGAAGUUUGAUGUAUUUGCACAAAGAUUCCGACGGGAGAGUGACGAAUGCAUUUCUGAACGGGCUAGAGACAUUCAUGCACUAGGCGGACUGUACACCGAUCACGCAGGAAAGCGGUAAGAUGUUCUGCCCCUGUCAAAAAUGCAAGAAUUCGAAAUUUGCACGUAGUGAAACUGUAUGGAAUCAUUUAGAAAACAUAGGAUUUACACCACAGUACUACAUUUGGUAUCAACAUGGAGAAGGUUAUGGAGGAAAUGAAGCUAGUAGUAGUAAUGCUAAUUUUGAGGAUGCUCAUCAUAAUGAAGAACCGAAUCAUGUGCAUAAUGAAUAUAAUUAUCAUCAAGAAGAGCAGAUGGUAGAUCAUGAUAGGGUUCAAGAUAUGAUUAGUGAUGCAUUUUUAGAAACAACUACAACAAUAGCUGAUGGAACUGGAAAUGUAAAAGAACCUAAUUUGGAUGCAAAAAGGUUUUAUGAAAUGCUAGAUGCUGCAAAUCAACCAAUCUACACUGGUGGUAGAGAAGGUCUCUCUAAAUUGUCUCUAGCAGCUAGGAUGAUGAAUAUUAAAACGGAUCAUAAUUUACCUGAGAAUUGCAUGGAUGCAUGGGCGGAGUUGUUUAAAGAGUAUUUGCCAGAAGACAACGUGUCUGCUGAAUCUUAUUAUGAGAUUCAGAAAUUGGUUUAUAGUCUUGGGUUACCCUCG